ensembl:snoRNA U3 Small nucleolar RNA U3
AAGACUAUACUUUCAGGGAUCAUUGCUAUAGUUCGUUACUAGAGAAAUCUCACUAAUCGUGUAGAGUACCGGAAACCACGAGGAAGAGGUAAAGUGCUCUCUCCUGAGCAUGAAGCUGGCACUUGGUAUUGUCUCAGAAAUAACAUCUUUCGAAAUGCUCAAACAUAAGAAAUGUCACAUGUAUGAAUGCAAAUUGGCAUCUUUCUGAAGGAGAUAUUAAGCAGUGU